rnacentral:lncRNA from 1 species
GAAUAUGAAUAAUUUGAUGUUAACAGGAAUUCACGCUGUCUCAGAAUAUAUAGACAGGUCAGGUAUUAUCUGCCCUUCUGCGCCUCCACAGUAAAAAGUUUGUGCUCAAAGAUAAUAUGCUUAGGAAUAUGUUAGUUAAUUCUAAAUGCUGUGAAAUUAGCAGAAUUUGGGUUUUCGUGGUUCUUCAUGAAUCCGGCUAGUUUGCUUGUGUUAGUCCCAAGGUAAUUACUUAUAAUUUAUAUCAUAAUUACAUGUAUGAUGGAUUUUCGUGGAUAUUUGGAGUCUAGGCUUAAGCAUUCUUGAGCUUACUUGGGUAGUAGAUAUCCACAUAAUUCCCAGUCAGCAUUUCUAACUCUUUUUAAAUUUUUUUGCAUUUUCUAGCCUAUUUUUCAAAAUCUAGCUCUGUUGAAUUAUCAUUAAGGAUGUUUAAAUUUAUCGUUUCGGCUUAUAUACAUGGUCAAAUGAUGCUUCUUUAUACAACUAAUACUGGAUCUUAUUGGUAAGUUGAUGGCUUGGCGUUGGAACUGGAUUUCAAAUGUCAGAAAAAUAGGACGCAAGCUGAAAAUUUAGAGGCACUGAUAUGCUUCCAUUUUUCCAUAUUAUUCAAGUCGUGUCUAAGAUAAAACUCAUAGUAUAAAGGAGUAGUUUUGAUGCUGCAUCUCUAAAAGUGGGACAUGAUUCCCUUCCAGUUCUGCCUUAAGCAAUACAUACAGAAUAAGUCGCAUGCUUCAUGUAUUGCAACCACAAUUCAAAUAAAAAUGUCAUGAAAAUCAAAUUAAAGUGCCUGAAUGCUUUUGGCUUAUUGCUGGCUUUGUAUUGACUACCUCAGGGAUUAAUUAUGCAUGCCAUAGCCGUCAGCACCUGUAGGAAAGCCAUACAAGAAUCAUCAAAUAAGGUCAUGUUUACUUGUCUGUUUGUAUGUAAAAUUUGUUGUAUAAAAUAUCUGUGCAUAUUGACGGUUAAUCUGGCAUCAAAACAUAUGCCCCAUGUCAUGCAGCAUUCAAUAUACUAAAAUGCGAAUCUAACUUAGUGGAGGAAUGCCUUGUCUCGGUGUGUGGAAGCGAUGGUGGAACUUGGAAUAGACAUAUACCAUACCUCAUGCAUUGACAUUCUCAACUUGGGAUCGCAGUCGAGACAUUGCUCUGCCAGACGAACCAUCCAAAACAACUGGUAAAGGUCAACAGAAUCUUGCACUGCAGGAUCUAUCAGUUCCAUGUACUUUUUCUCACUCAGGAUUGGUCUCGCCUGAGGAAAAAAACAGAGAUCCAUUGGGGCCCAAUGACUUGAAGAUAGAUUUCGUCCAAAGUAAAGAUUUUAGAUUAAGGAUCUUCAAAAUAAGAAUGCUGUAGUUAUUACCCAUCUCAAGAAGCUUUGCCCCUUUGUAUCUUCAAGAGUCUUUCGGCCAGUAAUCAGCUCGAGAAGAACAAUCCCAAAGGAAUAGACAUCUGCUUUGCUCAUGUCUAUUCCGCUUUGUGCAUAUU